GACGAACGCUGGCGGCGUGCUUAACACAUGCAAGUCGAACGGAAAGGCCCUGCUUUUGUGGGGUGCUCGAGUGGCGAACGGGUGAGUAACACGUGAGUAACCUGCCCUUGACUUUGGGAUAACUUCAGGAAACUGGGGCUAAUACCGGAUAGGAGCUCCUGCUGCAUGGUGUGGGUUGGAAAGUUUCGGCGGUUUGGGAUGGACUCGCGGCUUAUCAGCUUGUUGGUGGGGUAGUGGCUUACCAAGGCUUUGACGGGUAGCCGGCCUGAGAGGGUGACCGGCCACAUUGGGACUGAGAUACGGCCCAGACUCCUACCGGACGCAGUAGGGGGGAAUAUUGCACAAUGGGCGGAAGCCUGAUGCAGCAACGCCGCGUGCGGGAUGCCGGCCUUCGGGGUGUAAACCGCUUUCGCCUGUGACGAAGCGUGAGUGACGGUAAUGGGUAAAGAAGCACCGGCUAACUACGUG
rnacentral:rRNA from 1 species